rnacentral:lncRNA from 1 species
CGCCUGAGGAAUGCUGCUCAUUGAGCCAAUCGGAGGCGCGUGGGGGCGGGGCUUCCAGCAGUUUCCACUCUUUGGGAAAGUUGAGCAAAACGGAAAUGGAAACCAAACGCGUCUCUUCUUCCGGUCACGCGUGAGAUGUUUACGUACACGUUUGCAGCGUGGAAGAGCAGUGCUGCUGGUGACGUUAAUAAAGCGAGAGCUACAUGAGUUUAAGGAGUCGUUCAGCUUGAUAAAGCGUCGCGGUGGGAGAUGUUAGUAUGGAGCGCGCUGCUGUUUAUAAUCAAUGCAGCAUUAUCCACUGCUCAUCGAGAGGAGUCACAGCGCAGAAAAGAGAUGAGGCGAAGUAUCAGUUCUUCACAGCAGCACGCAGAGGACGCCAUCGCAGGCCACGCCCCCUACACCUUAUUAGGCCAGUGGGCGGGGCAGAGAAGCUGCAGACACGCCCCACAGCGGAGCGAGACGAAGCCUUCAGCGUUUGGAGUCUCCUUCCACAAGUGCGCUCAGGUGGACUGGGGGGGCAGUGUGUCUGCGCAGGCGCAGGUGCAGGUGCGUCUGGAGGUCAGUAAUCCGCAGGAGGGUGGUGAUCUGUCGCAGCUCUGCAUCCGGGACUCUGUGUCUGGGGUCACUCUGCUGCAGACUAACGGCAGCGUCCAGGAGAUAGGUUUCCAGACCUUCAGCGCCGACUCACUGCGCGGUACAACGUGUUUACAUACAGAUCAGCCUGUAAAUGUACACUUUAAACCAGUAAAUCCAACAUACCUUUUUGUGUCAAACACCAUCAUGAUAACACACACAACACUAAAAUAACACGAUAAACAUUCAUUUAACAACAUGCAUUGUAACAUAAAACCACUGUUUAUUUUCAGUAAAUGUUUUAUUUGCUUCCAGAAAUGGUAAAUUCAGCAGUAUUUUAAUGUAACAUUUUUAGUAGUGUAUUUAAAUUGCAAUCAUACAUAUUUUUUACAGUGCACACACAUUUAUCUUACUAUGUACACGAGCACAUCA